CAACAGUCAACCCGUCACCACAAUGCCCACUGAAUCAUCUGUGUGUUUCCUGAAAAUUUAAUGUUGCCUCAAACUGUAACUACUUCUGUAGGGCUGUUUCCGGGACAACAGAGGUUAAAACAGGCUGCAGCCUGCUUUUCUGUACUUAAUGAGGCACUCUCCAUCACUGCUGCGGAAGGAAGCUCUUUAAGACUCAUAAGCUGUAACUUGAGCAGAAAUUGGAGCUUUGCACAGGGAUGGAUGUAAGCUGGGUUACGAUCUCCCGUGCCUCCUUCAGCAACCGGGUGCCUCCGAUGAACGCUGCCCGGCCAUUGCAAUUUGCCAUGCUUGAGUUCUUCCUUCGCUUUCUCCCUGGGGAUUAAUAUCCGUUAUGGCAACAUCCUGGUUUCCUGUGCAAAGUGCUUUUGGGACAGCAAUUCCCCAUCAUCCUUUGUAGCAAAGAACAGAUCAAAAGCAAUACCUCUCGAAAUACGCCCACGCGUGUGCU
ensembl:lncRNA